UACAGAGGUGGCAGGCGUUGUUCGGAAUUACUGGGCGUAAAGGGCGCGUAGGCGGUCUUCUAAGUCUUGUGUGAAAUCCCUCGGCUCAACUGAGGAACUGCACGGGAUACUGGAAGACUUGAGUUCGGGAGAGGGAAGCGGAAUUCCGGGUGUAGCGGUGAAAUGCGUAGAUAUCCGGAGGAACACCGGUGGCGAAGGCGGCUUCCUGGACCAGUACCGACGUUCAGGCACGAAAGCGUGGGGAGCAAACAGG
rnacentral:rRNA from 1 species